rnacentral:misc_RNA from 1 species
UUAAGUUCAGCGGGUAUCCCUACCUGAUCCGAGGUCAAUCUGGGGUGGUUUGCUUACUGGUAAGCCCCUUUCUUCGGUGCGUCCCGCAAAUUUGCUGCGUUCAGUGCCGAUAAGGGAGCUGCCAACUACUUUUGAGGCGAGUCCGCGCGCGGAGGCGGGACAGACGCCCAUCACCAAGCUGAGCUUGAAUUUUGAAAUGA